GGGUCAGUAGGUUGGUCGUGCCACCGGUACGUACUGGUCUCACUGAUUCCUCCUUCCUGAAGAACCGUAAUGCCAUUAAUUUGGUGUUGCGGGGAAAUAGGACUGUUACUUUGAAAAAAUUAGAGUGUUUAAAGCAAGCUAACGCUUGAAUGCAUUAGCAUGGAAUAAUGAAAUAGGACGAUCGAUCCUAUUUUGUUGGUUUCUAGGAUUGACGUA
rnacentral:rRNA from 1 species